GAUGAACGCUGGCGGCGUGCCUAAUACAUGCAAGUCGAGCGAACAGACGAGGAGCUUGCUCCUCUGACGUUAGCGGCGGACGGGUGAGUAACACGUGGAUAACCUACCUAUAAGACUGGGAUAACUUCGGGAAACCGGAGCUAAUACCGGAUAAUAUAUUGAACCGCAUGGUUCAAUAGUGAAAGACGGUUUUGCUGUCACUUAUAGAUGGAUCCGCGCCGCAUUAGCUAGUUGGUAAGGUAACGGCUUACCAAGGCAACGAUGCGUAGCCGACCUGAGAGAGUGAUCGGCCACACGGGAACUGAGACACGGUCCAGACUCCUACGGGAGGCAGCAGUAGGGAAUCUUCCGCAGUGGGCGAAAGCUUGACGGAGCAACGCCGCGUGAGUGAUGAAGAUCUUCGGAUCGUAAAACUCUGUUAUUAGGGAAGAACAAAUGUGUAAGUAACUAUGCACGUCUUGACGGUACCUAAUCAGAAAGCCACGGCUAACUACGUG
rnacentral:rRNA from 1 species